GGAUGCCGAAUUUCACAGAGAUAAGCUCCAAAAUUUGACGGCUGCACCGAACGGACGUUCAAGCACAUUUUCACUCGAUUUUUGAAGAAUUACAAUCACAAAAACUGUAAAGCAAAAAGUAGGAGCAUCUAUUGUUGGGAUGCAUAUAUGGCUGAAGCAGGAGCUGCUGAUUUUGGAGUCAAAGUUAUAAAGAAAAUGGAGUGCAGGAGCAUUAUACUCGAAGGGGAUGCAGUAGAAGAAAUGUCACCAAUCUUCUUAUUUUAUGAUAGUAUUAAGAUGUUAAAGUUUCAUUUUGUUUCUUUUCUUUGUAAUCAUAUUACAAGGGAUAGGAAUACGGUUGCCUAUCUUGUUGCUAGAAGGGAGAUUAAUAUAGGUGAGGAAGUAAUUUGUACGAACUCCUUUUUCCAAAGUAUCAUAACUUUGGCGGAUAUUGAUAUAAACUAAUCUUCUUCC